GUCGUUGAGAUAGUAAUUCUGCUCAGUAUGAGAUGAACAGCAGGCUCAGAUUGAUAUGUCUACUUGACAGAUCAGUCAGUGGCGCGAAGGUACCAUCCAUGAGAUUAUGACUAAAUACCUCUAAGGCAGAAUCUUAUCCAGACAUGGCAAAGAU
rnacentral:rRNA from 1 species